AUUGAACGCUGGCGGCAGGCUUAACACAUGCAAGUCGAGCGGAGAUGAGGUGCUUGCACCUUAUCUUAGCGGCGGACGGGUGAGUAAUGCUUAGGAAUCUGCCUAUUAGUGGGGGACAACAUUCCGAAAGGAAUGCUAAUACCGCAUACGUCCUACGGGAGAAAGCAGGGGAUCUUCGGACCUUGCGCUAAUAGAUGAGCCUAAGUCGGAUUAGCUAGUUGGUGGGGUAAAGGCCUACCAAGGCGACGAUCUGUAGCGGGUCUGAGAGGAUGGUCCGCCACACUGGGACUGAGACACGGCCCAGACUCCUACGGGAGGCAGCAGUGGGGAAUAUUGGACAAUGGGGGAAACCCUGAUCCAGCCAUGCCGUGUGUGUGAAGAAGGCCUUAUGGUUGUAAAGCACUUUAAGCGAGGAGGAGGCUACUGAGACUAAUACUCUUGGAUAGUGGACGUUACUCGCAGAAUAAGCACCGGCUAACUCUGUGCCAGCCGCCGCGGUAA
rnacentral:rRNA from 1 species